GCGGCGAGUGGUCAGUGCAGUUCGGAAGGGAGCGUGGGGUCUUGAGGGACGGGAAAGAGGGGUACAUAGGCUUAGUGAUAGAGCCUGGCGGGGGUGAAGAAGGGGCAAACCAGAUUUCAUUUGACUUUGCUGACCUUCGCCUUGUCUAUCUGCAGCCCCCUCUCUGAAGAAUGCAGCCUUCCUAGGUCCAGGGGUAUUGCAGGCAACAAGGACCUUUCAUACAGGGCAGCCACACCUUGUCCCCGUACCACCUCUUCCUGAAUACGGAGGAAAAGUUCGUUAUGGACUGAUCCCUGAGGAAUUCUUCCAGUUUCUUUAUCCUAAAACUGGUGUAACAGGACCCUAUGUACUCGGAACUGGGCUUAUCUUGUACGCUUUAUCCAAAGAAAUAUACGUGAUUAGCGCAGAGACCUUCACUGCCCUAUCAGUACUAGGUGUAAUGGUCUAUGGAAUUAAAAAAUAUGGUCCCUUUGUUGCAGACUUUGCUGAUAAACUCAAUGAGCAAAAACUUGCCCAACUAGAAGAGGCGAAGCAGGCUUCCAUCCAACACAUCCAGAAUGCAAUUGAUAUGGAGAAGUCACAACAGGCACUGGUUCAGAAGCGCCAUUACCUUUUUGAUGU
rnacentral:sRNA from 1 species